rnacentral:rRNA from 1 species
ACGGAACUUCUUUAAAGGAUUUCUUCGGAAUGAAUUUGAUUAAGUUUAGUGGCGGACGGGUGAGUAACGCGUGAGUAACCUGCCUCUAAGAGGGGAAUAACAUUCUGAAAAGAAUGCUAAUACCGCAUAACAUAUAUUUAUCGCAUGGUAGAUAUAUCAAAGAUUUAUCGCUUAGAGAUGGACUCGCGUCCGAUUAGUUAGUUGGUGAGGUAACGGCUCACCAAGACCGCGAUCGGUAGCCGGACUGAGAGGUUGAACGGCCACAUUGGGACUGAGACACGGCCCAGACUCCUACGGGAGGCAGCAGUGGGGGAUAUUGCGCAAUGGGGGAAACCCUGACGCAGCAACGCCGCGUGAAGGAUGAAGGUUUUCGGAUUGUAAACUUCUUUUAUUAAGGACGAAGAAAGUGACGGUACUUAAUGAAUAAGCUCCGGCUAACUACGUGCCAGCAGCCGCGGUAAUACGUAGGGAGCAAGCGUUGUCCGGAUUUACUGGGUGUAAAGGGUGCGUAGGCGGCUUUGCAAGUCAGAUGUGAAAUCUAUGGGCUCAACCCAUAGCCUGCAUUUGAAACUGCAGAGCUUGAGUGAAGUAGAGGCAGGCGGAAUUCCCCGUGUAGCGGUGAAAUGCGUAGAGAUGGGGAGGAACACCAGUGGCGAACGCGGCCUGCUGGGCUUUAACUGACGCUGAGGCACGAAAGCGUGGGUAGCAAACAGGAUUAGAUACCCUG